AAAGCGCGCGUAGGUGGUUUGUUAAGUUGAAUGUGAAAUCCCCGGGCUCAACCUGGGAACUGCAUCCAAAACUGGCAAGCUAGAGUAGGGCAGAGGGUGGUGGAAUUUCCUGUGUAGCGGUGAAAUGCGUAGAUAUAGGAAGGAACACCAGUGGCGAAGGCGACCACCUGGGCUCAUACUGACACUGAGGUGCGAAAGCGUGGGGAGCAAACAGGAUUAGAUACCCCAGU
rnacentral:rRNA from 1 species